rnacentral:rRNA from 1 species
GCGAACGCUGGCGGCAGGCCUAACACAUGCAAGUCGAACGGACCCUUCGGGGUUAGUGGCGGACGGGUGAGUAACACGUGGGAACGUGCCUUUAGGUUCGGAAUAGCUCCUGGAAACGGGUGGUAAUGCCGAAUGUGCCCUUCGGGGGAAAGAUUUAUCGCCUUUAGAGCGGCCCGCGUCUGAUUAGCUUGUUGGUGGGGUAAUGGCCCACCAAGGCUACGAUCAGUAGCUGGUCUGAGAGGAUGACCAGCCACAUUGGGACUGAGACACGGCCCAAACUCCUACGGGAGGCAGCAGUGGGGAAUCUUGCGCAAUGGGCGAAAGCCUGACGCAGCCAUGCCGCGUGUAUGAUGAAGGCCUUAGGGUUGUAAAGCUCUUUUACCCGAGAUGAUAAUGACAGUAUCGGGAGAAUAAGCCCCGGCUAACUCCGU